rnacentral:rRNA from 1 species
UACGAAGGGGGCUAGCGUUGUUCGGAAUUACUGGGCGUAAAGCGCGCGCAGGCGGUCCUUUAAGUCAGGGGUGAAAGCCCAGAGCUCAACUCUGGAACGGCCUUUGAAACUAGAGGACUUGGGUACGGGAGAGGUGAGUGGAAUUCCGAGUGUAGAGGUGAAAUUCGUAGAUAUUCGGAGGAACACCAGUGGCGAAGGCGGCUCACUGGUCCGGUACUGACGCUGAGGUGCGAAAGCGUGGGGAGCAAACAGG